rnacentral:rRNA from 1 species
UACGGAAGGCAGCAGUGGGGAAUAUUGCACAAUGGGCGAAAGCCUGAUGCAGCUAUGCCGCGUGUAUGAAGAAGGCCUUAGGGUUGUAAAGUACUUUCAUCGGGGAGGAAAAAACAAAACUAAUAAUUUUAUUUCUUGACGUUACCCGAAAAAGAAGCACCGGCUAACUCCGUGCCAGUAGCCGCGGUAAUACGGAGGGUGCUAGCGUUAAUCAGAAUUACUGGGCGUAAAGAGCACGUAGGUGGUUUUUUAAGUCAGAUGUGAAAUCCCUGGGCUUAACCUGGAACUGCAUUUUGAAACUGAAAUACUAGAGUAUCGUAGAGGGAGGUAGAAUUCUAGGUGUAGCGGUGAAAUGCGUAGAUAUCUGGAGGAAUACCUGUGGCGAAAGCGGCCUCCUAAACGAAUACUGACACUGAGGGUGCGAAAGCGUGGGGAGCAAACAGGGAUUAGAUACC